GGGGUGGUGGCGCAGUUUGCUAGCGCGUAGGUCUCAUAAUCCUGAGGUCGAGAGUUCGAGCCUCUCUCACCCCA